rnacentral:rRNA from 1 species
UACGUAGGGUGCAAGCGUUGUCCGGAAUUAUUGGGCGUAAAGAGCUCGUAGGCGGUUUGUCGCGUCUGCUGUGAAAACUCGGGGCUUAACCCCGGGCCUGCAGUGGGUACGGGCAGACUAGAGUGCGGUAGGGGGAGACUGGAAUUCCUGGUGUAGCGGUGAAAUGCGCAGAUAUCAGGAGGAACACCGGUGGCGAAGGCGGUUCUCUGGGAAUGUACUGACGCUGAGGAGCGAAAGCGUGGGGAGCGAACAGG